UACAGAGAGUGCAAGCGUUAUUCGGAUUCACUGGGCGUAAAGGGUGCGCAGGCGGCCGUGUGUGUGAGGCGUGAAAGCCCGGAGCUCAACUCCGGAAUUGCACCUCAAACUACACGGCUAGAGCAUUGGAGAGGGUAGCGGAAUUCACGGUGUAGCAGUGAAAUGCGUAGAUAUCGUGAGGAACACCAGAGGCGAAGGCGGCUACCUGGACAAUUGCUGACGCUCAGGCACGAAAGCGUGGGGAGCAAAAGGG
rnacentral:rRNA from 1 species